CUCAAACAUAAGUGACAUUGAAUAUUUUAAUUCAGACUUCGAUUACAAAGAAUAAAACUUUUUCUUAUAAAAUAUUUCUUUAUUUGUAGGUUCUGUUAGUUACGAAAUUAUAUUUCAUUUAGUGACUUUUCGGCGAAGUAAAAUAUCGUGAGAUAAGAGAACCGGACAUAUCCCAAUAAGGCCUACCUACUUAUGCACUAUUUUUAUUCAUAUUUAUUAUUAAUAAUGUACACAUACAUUACAAGUCAAGUUUACAAUGGGUGAAAUAUAUCCCAGAUAGUAAAAUUACAGUUCUAUUGCCCAAUUUCUACCCGAUCUACCCGGUUUUGUAUUAAAAUAACUGUUGAACUGCACAGAUUAGGCAGUACAUAAAUGAGACUCUAUCUUGUUUGGUACUAAAAUUACAGUUGUAUUGGGCAGAUUCUUAACUAGUUUUAGCAGUUUUGUCAAUCGCACUGUCACUUUUUAGUAUCUGAGACAUAAAAACAAGAGUGUGUUUUAAAAAGAAAACUAAUGCCUGCGCUAAAUCAGAGGAUUGAGUUGACGAGCCGACACCACCACCAGGGUCCGUUUAGUAAGCCGUGGUAAAAAACCGGAACAAAAGGGAUUCAUGUAUCAUGACCUUUAGUGUCGUACUAUAAUCACGUGACCAGUGUUGUCAGCAUAGUAAAAACCAUAAAAUAGCACUGGCGCGCCCUCAAAUCCCACGACUCUUCUCUUUCCGCACAGACUCUACUGGCAACAUCGCCAUCAAA